UGGGGAAUCUUCCGCAAUGGACGAAAGUCUGACGGAGCAACGCCGCGUGAGUGAAGACGGCCUUCGGGUUGUAAAGCUCUGUUAUUCGGGAAGAACGAUUCGUUUGUGAACAAUGAACGGAAGUGACGGUACCGAAAGAGAAAGCCACGGCUAACUACGUGCCAGCAGCCGCGGUAAUACGUAGGUGGCAAGCGUUGUCCGGAAUUAUUGGGCGUAAAGAGCGCGUAGGCGGUAUGGUAAGUCUGUCUUAGAAGUGCGGGGCUUAACCCCGUGAGGGGACAGAGACUGUCAUACUGGAGUCUCGGAGAGGAAAGCGGAAUUCCUAGUGUAGCGGUGAAAUGCGUAGAGAUUAGGAAGAACACCGGUGGCGAAGGCGGCUUUCUGGACGAGCACUGACGCUGAGGCGCGAAAGCGUGGGGAGCGAACAG
rnacentral:rRNA from 1 species